rnacentral:rRNA from 1 species
AUUGAACGCUGGCGGCAGGCCUAACACAUGCAAGUCGAACGAGUGGCGGACGGGUGAGUAAUGUCUGGGCAACUGCCUGAUGGAGGGGGAUAACUACUGGAAACGGUAGCUAAUACCCCAUACCAUCGGAUUUGCCCAGAUGGGAUUAGCUUGUUGGUGGGUUAACGGCUCACCAGGGCGACGAUCCCUCGCUGGUCUGAUAGGAUGACCGGCCACACUGGAACUAGGACACGGUCAAGACGCCAACGGGAGGAAGCAGUGGGGAUUAUUGCAAAAGGGGGGAAAGCCGGAGGCAGCCAGGCCGGGUGGAUGAAGAAGGCCUUCGGGUUGUAAAGUACUUUCAGCGGGGAGGCGUUACCCGAAGAAGAAGCACCGGCUAACUACGUGCCAGCAGCCGCGGUAAUUC